AAAGCUUUAAGUUAAAAAAACUAUUAAUCUUCAAAAUUAAAAAUAUUAUAUAUUAAGCUUUA
rnacentral:tRNA from 1 species